GACGAACGCUGGCGGCGUGCCUAACACAUGCAAGUCGAGCGAAUGAAGUUCCUUCGGGAACGGAUUUAGCGGCGGACGGGUGAGUAACACGUGGGCAACCCGCCUCAUAGAGGGGAAUAGCCUUCCGAAAGGGAGAUUAAUACCGCAUAUGAUUGUAGUACCGCAUGGUACAGCAAUUAAAGGAGCAAUCCGCUAUGAGAUGGGCCCGCGGCGCAUUAGCUAGUUGGUGAGGUAACGGCUCACCAAGGCGACGAUGCGUAGCCGACCUGAGAGGUGAUCGGCCACAUUGGGACUGAGACACGGCCCAGACUCCUACGGAGGCAGCAGUGGGAAUAUUGCACAAUGGGGGAAACCCUGAUGCAGCGACGCCGCGUGAAGGAAGAAGGUAUCUCGGUAUGUAAACUUCUAUCAGCAGGGAAGAUAAAUGACGGUACCUGACUAAGAAGCCCCGGCUAACUACGUGCCAGCAGCCGC
rnacentral:rRNA from 1 species